rnacentral:rRNA from 1 species
AUUGAACGCUGGCGGCAUGCUUUACACAUGCAAGUCGAACGGCAGCGGGGAGGAGCUUGCUUCUCUGCCGGCGAGUGGCGCACGGGUGAGUAAUACAUCGGAACGUGUCGAGAAGAGGGGGAUAACCACCCGAAAGGGUGGCUAAUACCGCAUAAAUUCUGAGGAAGAAAGCUGGGGACCUAGGAAUAGGCCUAGCGCUUUUUGAGCGGCCGAUGUCGGAUUAGCUAGUUGGUGAGGUAAAGGCUCACCAAGGCGAAGAUCUGUAGCGGGUCUGAGAGGAUGAUCCGCCAAACUGGGACUUAGACACGGCCCAGACUCCUACGGGAGGCAGCAGUGGGGAAUUUUGGACAAUGGGGGCAACCCUGAUCCAGCCAUGCCGCGUGUAUGAAGAAGGCCUUAGGGUUGUAAAGUACUUUUGUUAGGGAAGAAAAGUCAGCUGUGAAUAAUGGCUGAUACUGACGGUACCUAAAGAAUAAGCACCGGCUAACUACGUG